GACAGAGGGUGCUAGCGUUGUUCGGAAUUACUAGGCGUAAAGGGCUCGUAGGCGGCCAACUAAGUCAGACGUGAAAUCCCUCGGCUUAACCGGGGAACUGCGUCUGAUACUGGAUGGCUUGAGUUUGGGAGAGGGAUGCGGAAUUCCAGGUGUAGCGGUGAAAUGCGUAGAUAUCUGGAGGAACACCGGUGGCGAAGGCGGCAUCCUGGACCAACACUGACGCUGAGUGAGCGAAAGCCAGGGGAGCAAACGGG
rnacentral:rRNA from 1 species